ACUAAGGCUUGGGAUUAUGUGCGUAGUACUAUGCUACUUUUCUAAAUCAACUCCAGAGUAGUAGUAUUUUUUUUUCCAAUUCGAUUUGAACACAAUGCACUUCUAGGUUAUCAUUUUAAAUAAAACCAUUAAUCUAAAACCCAUUUAUUAUGUCACCAUUCCUCAUCCUUCAACUCCGAUUAUCUAGGCUUGGGAAUGAUAGUUUCUAACAAGUGUAUGACUCAAUUAUGAUGCAAAAGAGUUAGACUGAAAAUAUAUGUUCUUAUAAUGAAAAGAAUGCCAUUGUAUCAUCCCCUAAGAGCCAUAAAUCACAAAAUAAAUAUAAUUGAACCCAAAUAUAAAUAUAUGCCUUUAAUAAGAAUAUUAUGUUCCCACAAUAAAAAAAGAGGCUCAAAGUGUAUGAAUAAGUCUCCACUCUUUUAUGUCAAGAUUUUAUGAAUACAUAGUAGUUAUGUUUUUAAUAAGAAUAUUAUGUUCCCACAACAAAAGGAGAGGCUCAAAGUGUAUGAAUAGGUAAUUAAGUCUCCACUCUUUUAUGUCAAGAUGUUAUGAAUACAUAGUAGUUCAACUUUGUUCAUUUGGCUUAUGCUAAAGUUAUGUAAAAAAUGGCCCAUUAUACAAAUCUAAUAUCACUUAAGUAAUAAACUGGAUUUUUAUAAUUCACAUGAGUAUGUUUAGAGUCAAAUAUAUCUUUAAACUAUUGAUUAAAUCAAAUUUUACCAAAAAUUUCAAAAAAUUGGAUUUUUUUUACUUAAAUAAAAAAAUGCUAUCAAAAACUAACCCUUACCCCUCAACUUGAAUUGUGCAGUGUCCUCAAUGAAAAAUAAUAACAAUUAUCAAAAUAAAAGGGAAUGAAGUCACCUAUGAGCAUAACAUCUUAUCAACUAGUGCAGCUGCCUGCACCUCUAGUGCUCUACGGACUUAGCCGAUCGGUCUAGCAUUGGUCCAAUCGGUCGGGCAUAAGGCAAUUCAUGCCUUUUGUCUUCUGGUCCUUCCUGGACCGAUAGAGAAAUGCCUAGACCUGUCCAGGCAUGGUGGUUUAGAUUUUGAUAAAUUUCUUUUUAACACUUUUCCACCCUGCAAAAUACUUAAUUCUACUUGUGCUACAAAAGAUAUAAAAUGAACAAUUUUAUGCGCAAUAGAUCUAUGAUUUGCAUCAUACCUCUGUCUAAUCACCUGGACUGCUUGCAAUAUUAAUUUUCUAAAACGGAUGUUAAAACAAAUACCAAAAAGGUGCAAUUUAAUAAGCGAGCAUUGAAAUAAAGCAGAAAUAGAAAAAAUAAACUAUAUGUAAGAAAACUAACAUCAAAUCAUCGGGUGAUUUUUCAAUGUUAGAAACACCAUCAUCCAGUUGGAUAAUGAUGCACAAAAGAUCCCAGCUUAGAUUAUUUGAACAAAAUUAUAUUCGACCAUACCAUGUGAUCAAAUACUUGGAAUAUUUUUUAUUUUUUCUGCACCUUAAGUAUCUUUAUUUCACCACUAUUUCAUUUUUAAUUGGUGUAGUUUUGAGUUUGUUGACUAGUUGGACAAAAUAAUGAUCCACAACCCAAUUAAAAUUUUCAACACUAAAAAAAUCGAUUAGCUCUACAUCAAUGAAAGACUUAGUUGGACUAAGAUUAGGCAACUCAACUUCAUCCAUACAUUAAGUUGUUUAAGUGGUGCGAUCAGUUCUUGUGUCAGAUUUUCGUGGUCCUCAUUGAUAUGUUCAACCUCAAAACUAUUGGGUUUGUUUUGUGUUUCCCACAACUCACUGUUAUAUUCCUUACUAUAGGUCUCUACCUCCCAUACUUGUUCCUAUCGGCCUUGAGUCAAUGACUCUUGCUCCUCUUGUCCAUUAAACAUGUGAACUAGAUGAUCCACUUGGAUUCCUAGUUCAACAAUUGAUUGACAAUUGGACGCGAGUUCUUGAACACUAGCCUCAUAAUCUUGUAACGUUUGCAACAUACUAUCCUCAAAAUCUAGAUUUUCUUGAGGUAGCGGAGGAUAGUAAUGUUAGUAGGGCUGUUUAGGAGGGCCAAUGUAAUGGGAAUGAAUAUAGGACAUAUUAGUGUCCUCCAUCCAUAGUUUUUGGGUCCAAGAAGAGUUUGAGUGAGUUUUCCACUCAUUGUUGUGAGUGUACGAGUAUGAAUUGUUACUACUAGAAUUCAAGCAUCCUUGGGUAGUGUUGAUAAAUUUUUGCACAAACUUAGGAAACUCACGAGCCUGAGGACAUUCAGUCACAAGGUGGUUGUGACUAGAACAUAUAAGGCAUGACUCUUUGUAAAAAACUUUCUUAUGGUUGGGUUGGGGACACGAUGUUCGUUGGCUUUGAAGAACAUCUGCAAAGUGUCCUUUAGACUCUAUUUUUGAGGAGGCUGGUACACAUCUGGAAUUAGGGGAUAAUAAUGACCUUGUGGACUAUAGAUUUCUAAAAAAUUUUGUUGUCCAUAAGGCCCUUGCCCUAUUGAGGUCAUAUGUUGGUGGGAUUCAGUGUACAAUAAUUCCUUAGACCACGGUGGUGGAGGUGAAUAUGUAGAAGCAUUAUAUCUAUCCCAUUCAUGAUUGGACUGUGGUACGUCAAAAUUAAAAUCAAAAGGCAUCAUUUUUCCCCCAAAAGUAACUAAAAAACAACACUUACAAUCCUUGUGAUGAAAUCACAAGGACUCAGCUUGGCAUUUAAGCUCCCCAGCAAAGAUGCCAUAAAUGCUUGUCACUUUACCGUGUUUAUUUUAUUUAUCUAAUUCAGUUCCCAAGCGUAGAAAUUUAGUUAAUUCAGCAUAAUACUCGAAAGUCCCGAUGUCAUUUUUUCACAAAGAACUUGUAUGCAAGAUUGAGUUUUGUUGUAAUUAAAGAAAGUGUAAAAUUAUGAUUUUUUUCUUCUUUUUGUAAAUAGUGUGAAUAAAAAUGUAACCUACAAAUGUAAAAUAGCAAGGUUCAAAUCCUUAGUCGUCUCCUAGUUUAAAUGUGUCAAUUCAUUUUUUCUUUUACAAACUCAAUCAAUUGUCAAGGUAUAAUGAUGAUGGUUGAAAGAUUUUUCAGUGAAAAUAUUGUUUUACGUGUAAAGAUGUGUUUAUAAAAUAAAAAAUGAAUUUGGAUAAUGUUUCAAAUACCUAGAAUGCAAGUGAUCUAAGUAUUAUUUGUACCAAGUAUUCUUGUUAAAAAAUAAUCAAGAAUGGGUAUAAUUUCAAGUUUUGAUCUUAAAAACUACCAUAAAUCAUUCAUAAAUAUCAUUAAAAUUAUUUUGAAAUAGAAAAGAAAUUAGUUCAUCGAAGGGUUGAAAGAUUACGUAGUCCUUGAACCGAGCCUAAAGAUCUAGUCUUCUGUGUUUAUAGAAGGCUCAAUCUUUAGUGCAAAAUAAUUUAAUAAAACAAAAAGAACUAAACACAUUUAAGAAAAAAGCUGAAAAUAAAAUAGCAUGGAAUAAAUGAAAAUUACAAAAUUACAAUAAAGAGAACUUACAAACUUUUAUCAAAAAGUAAAAUCCGAAAAUUACAGCACUAGAACUUGAACUAUUCUAAUCUAAUCUACAACUAAAAAUAUAAAGUGUAAAAACUAAAACUGAAAGCUAAAAUUAACAGAGAGCUCAUAAAUAAAAACUUGGUUCUUUAUGAGUUUUUCUAUUUGCCAUGAAAUUUACAGUGAAGACAACCAUGAAUGACUUCAUGGCCCCACUUCUCCCCACUUCUCCACAUUUCACAAAACAAACAAGCGGGAAUUGAAAAAAAGAAUUUGGGCAGAAAUUUUGAACCCCAAUCCCUCCAUCCUCCCACCAAACAGUGGUCCCUCCAUCUUUCCACUGCAUUCUUCUCCCUCCCUCUAAUCACCAACCACCACCACCCUCACCGAACUACCCACCACUUGGCCCCCCCACACGCCAAGUGGUUCCAAGGAUUUUAGUAGUACUCCUUGUAAAUUCAAUUCUCUCUCCUCUAUGGGUAUGUUUCAUCUUUUUUUUUUUGUGAAAAUGUAUGUUCCUACCAUUAGCACUAAACAGGAGUUUUUUCACUCUUUUAGAUGUCUUGGAAUAAAUCCCAGUGAAUGUCCACUGCUGACUGAUAUCACAAAGUGGUGCUUCAAAGUGGGGAUUAAAAAUUAAGGCUUAACGGUGGGAUUAAAAAAUUAGGGGAUGAAAAAUAGAAUUAAAAUUUUUUAAUUUCUAGAAACCUUGAUUCUUUGUGUUUUUAAAUCUUAUAUUUCUUAUUUUUGUAGAAUCAUGAAUAAAGAUAUGGAAUUUGGAGAGAAUAUGAAUGUGGGGCGGUAUUGGAACCUCAAGUCGGAACAAUAUUCAUUUCAAAAAUGAAGCCAAGGAAUAUUAUAGUACUUAUGCAAAAGCAAAAGGUUUUGGUUCGGUCGUCAAAGCAUUUAAGAAGCUUGACUAUGGGGUAAGGCAUACAUAACUUAGCUUCAUCGCAGUGGAAAGCCCAGGACAACGCUUUGAAGCCGUUAUCCCAUCCAACAUCAAAGUAGAUUGUAAAGCGCAUAUGAUAUCUCUUUGCCAAGUUGAUGGAAAGUGGAUGUUUAAUUCGAUUGCAUUUAACACAUAACCAUGAUUGACCCGGAAAAGGCGAAAUAUCUUAAGUGUUAUCGGACUCUCCCACCACAUCGCAAAGGGCAAUUGAAUUGAAGCAUGGAUGUUGGAAUCAAAUUAAACCCCAUUUAUUAGGGCAUGUUUGAUUGGGAAGGGGGCCCGUAAUCAUGUGACGUGGAUAGAAAGGAUGCCUUAAUCACAAUGAUAAAGUUAGGCGUUCAGAGCUCACGGAAGGGGCUGCGCAGGCAAUGCAUAGUUUACUUUGUUAGGAUGCCAAGACACGGUAACUUCUUUUAUGCCAUCGAAUUUGAUAAAGAUCAUCCAAUAAAUAAAAUUUAUUAUUAAUAAAUCCUUUUUGGGCGCGAUGCUAGGAGUCGAGGUUAUACCAAGAAUUUGGUCGAUGUGGUUACAUUUACACCACUUAUCUUGUUUAACACUUCGAUAUUCCUUUCGCACCAUUUUGUAGGGGUCACCCUCAUGGACAGUCAUUGUU
rnacentral:lncRNA from 1 species